AGAGUUUGAUCCUGGCUCAGGAUAAACGCUGGCGGCAUGCCUAACACAUGCAAGUCGAACGGGGUUUAUAUGAUGGAACUCUUCGGAGGGAAGACAUAUAAACCUAGUGGCGGACGGGUGAGUAACGCGUGGGGAACCUGCCCUGUACCGGGGGACAACAGCCAGAAAUGGCUGCUAAUACCGCAUAAUCCUGCGCUGCCGCAUGGCAGCGCAGGGAAAACUCCGGUGGUACAGGAUGGUCCCGCGUCUGAUUAGCUUGUUGGCGGGGUAACGGCCCACCAAGGCGACAAUCAGUAGCCGGCUUGAGAGAGCGGACGGCCACAUUGGGACUGAGACACGGCCCAAACUCCUGCGGGAGGCAGCAGUGGGGAAUAUUGCACAAUGGGGGGAACCCUGAUGCAACAAUGCCGCGUGGGUGAAGAAAUACUUCGGUAUGU
rnacentral:rRNA from 1 species